AUACCUUAACAACAAAUCACAUCAGCUGUAAACAGGUGAUGCAGACUGGAACUUUGGAGUUUUCUAAGGUUAACUAAAGAUCUAGAUCUGUACUGUGGAUAAGCUACUAUAAAUAGCAGCAAAAAAAAAAAAAAAAAAAAAAAUUUGACAGCGUUGAAUUUUCUUAAGAUUUUCAAGACUUUUUUGACGGUGUGUCCAGACUGAAGACUUAUUUUCAGUAAGACUGCAUGUGUAUUGCUUCAUAGCCUUAUUCUUCUGAUUCUUUACACUUAUGUGCACUUAUGUGGAGGAAAAAAAUAAAUUCAAAAGCAGAGAAAAGGAAAUUUAAACCAUGAAAAGUGUUCUUUGUAUCAAUAAAGAUACGAAAAUAUUUAGGAAAGAACAAACAAGGUAAUUCAAUAAAAGAAUAUAAGGCUGGAAGGGAUCUCCUAUGUCAUACGGUUCUGUUCUAUCCUACCACAGUAAACCAUAUUGUGUACUCCCUUACAAAAACUACACAUCAAGAAUUAUUUGUUUUUGUUUUUUGGUCAUAUCAGCGUUUUUGACAAGCUGUUACUAACUCUGACCAAACCUUUUAGUCUGACAGUAAGAAACGCUCCUCACUUUUAUGACCUAAACUUAUUUAAAGCCAUUAUAUAUUAACUUGUAAUUUUGUCAGCAUUGUCUCUUAGCUCUUCCCUAAUAGCUUACCUCCCACUAUAGCUUAAUUCUCCUUUCUCUUUCCCAGAAAAAAAAAAAAAAAAGAACCAAGUUCUUUUAAAUUCCUAACACAUAUCCUACUGUAUAUCAGAUGUCUUUUCCUUUAUUUACUUAAGUGACCUAACUCUGUGAAUAAGACAACUAAAAUUGGUUUUCAUUGAUUGUGACAGGCACAACCAUAAAAUAUACUAUAUAUGAUGUCACCAAUGUCCUGUAAAAAUCUUCCUUAUACACUACCUGACACUUUCUCUCUCACAACUGACUAAAAACUUUAGCAAAAACUUUUACUUGCUAUCACCCUAGUACAGGACUUGCAUUUUAUGUUAAUAAAUUCCAACCCAUUUCUGUCUCUCCAAUCUGUAAAAUCACAGGAUUAUUUCUAUAUAUUAAUUCAUUCUCUCUGAAUAGAUGGAAAAUUUCUCUAAUUUUGUGCCAUCAUCACAUGACUAGAACGCUGACAAGGAUAUUAUUAUGAAAAAAUUAUUAACAGUAUUAAAAACAAUUAUUCUCAAAGACCAGUUCUGAGGAGCUCAAAUCAUAGCUUACUUCCACACUUAUGCUUUCAUUUUAAAAAGUCCAUUCCUUGUCCUCCUUAAAUUUCAUCUGUUCAACAUAAGGUAAGGCAACUAUUGCUAUUCAGUCUAGGAGAUUAUACUCUAUGACCACAUCUUUAAAAUAUAUAAAUUGGCAAGAUGCCUAAAUGAACCACAGAACUAAAUAAUUUCUGAUUCAGUAACUUCUGGGGAAUAUAUCUGUUGAUUCUCAGACCUUGUUCAUUAGUAGCAGUACUUUUUCACUGGUGUCCAUAUGUAAAAUUAAAUUCUUCUGUUAGGACACAAUUCCUACUCAUACUUAGCCUUCUAAUAGCUUUAAUAACUAACUUCUAAU
rnacentral:lncRNA from 1 species